UAGAGGGUGCAAGCGUUGUUCGGAAUUACUGGGCGUAAAGGGCGCGUAGGCGGCACAGCAAGUCGGGAGUGAAAGCCCGGGGCUCAACCCCGGAAUGGCUUUCGAAACUGCUGAGCUAGAGUACAGAAGGGGCAACCGGAAUUCCCAGUGUAGCGGUGAAAUGCGUAGAUAUUGGGAAGAACACCUGAGGCGAAGGCGGGUUGCUGGGCUGAUACUGACGCUGAGGCGCGAAAGCCAGGGGAGCAAACGGG
rnacentral:rRNA from 1 species